UACGUAGGGGGCAAGCGUUGUCCGGAUUUAUUGGGCGUAAAGAGCGUGUAGGCGGUCAGGUAGGUCCGUUGUGAAAACUCGAGGCUCAACCUCGAGACGCCGAUGGAAACCAUCUGACUAGAGUCCGGAAGAGGAGAGUGGAAUUCCUGGUGUAGCGGUGAAACGCGCAGAUAUCAGGAAGAACACCCGUGGCUAAGGCGGCUCUCUAGUACGGUACUGACGCUGAGACGCGAAAGCGUGGGGAGCGAACAGG
rnacentral:rRNA from 1 species